AAAUGAAUUGACGGGGGCCCGCACAAGCGGAGGAACAUGUGGUUUAAUUCGAUGAUACGCGAGGAACCUUACCCGGGCUUGAAAUGCAUCUGACCGGGCCGGAAACGGUCUUUCCCAGCGAUGGGCAGAUGUGUAGGUGCUGCAUGGUUGUCGUCAGCUCGUGCCGUGAGGUGUCGGCUUAAGUGCCAUAACGAGCGCAACCCUCAUCGUCAGUUACCAUCGGGUAAAGCCGGGGACUCUGAGGAGACUGCCAUCGUAAGAUGCGAGGAAGGUGGGGAUGACGUCAAAUCAGCACGGCCCUUAUGUCCGGGGCGACACACGUGUUACAAUGGGCGGUACAGCGGGGAGCUACCCGGCGACGGGGAGCCGAUCCCGAAAGCCGCUCACAGUUCGGAUCGGAGUCUGCAACUCGACUCCGUGAAGGCGGAUUCGCUAGUAAUCGCGCAUCAGCCACGGCGCGGUGAAUACGUUCCCGGGCCUUGUACACACCGCCCGU
rnacentral:rRNA from 1 species